rnacentral:rRNA from 1 species
CAGCAGCCGCGGGAAUACGUAGGUGGCAAGCGUUGUCCGGAAUUAUUGGGCGUAAAGGGCUCGCAGGCGGUUUCUUAAGUCUGAUGUGAAAGCCCCCGGCUCAACCGGGGAGGGUCAUUGGAAACUGGGAAACUUGAGUGCAGAGGAGGAGAGUGGAAUUCCACGUGUAGCGGUGAAAUGCGUAGAGAUGUGGAGGAACACCAGUGGCGAAGGCGACUCUCUGGUCUGUAACUGACGCUGAGGAGCGAAAGCGUGGGGAGCGAACAUGAUUAGAUACCCGAGUAGUCCCUGUCUCUUAUAC